AGAGUUUGAUCAUGGCUCAGGAUGAACGCUGGCGGCGUGCCUAACACAUGCAAGUCGAGCGAACCCUUCGGGGUGAGCGGCGGACGGGUGAGUAACGCGUGGGGUAACCCUGCCCCUGUACACACGGAUAAACAUACCGAAAGGUAUGCUAAUACGAGAUAAUAUGUAAUGAUCGCAUGGUCGAUACAUCAAAGCUCCGGCGGUACAGGAUGGACCCGCGUCUGAUUAGCUAGUUGGUGAGGUAAUGGCUCACC
rnacentral:rRNA from 1 species